UUAGAAUGAUAUUUGUGCCUAAGCACGAACGCUUUUUCCUGCUGCACAAACCGGCAUCAGUACUGAAUAUUCCUGCAUAGUUUACCGCGCUAACCGCUUAGAGUUAGACCAAUGAUCGAACCUCACUGGUCGAGCGGCCUGAGGAGUGACAGAAUCGCUUCCCACGACAUCCCGGUCUUCAUCUCAGGAAAAUUUUUCGUUAAAUUAUUCUCUUCUACUAUGGGGAAGGCAUGCGUGU
rnacentral:lncRNA from 1 species